rnacentral:rRNA from 1 species
UAGCGUAGGGGGCUAGCGUUGUCCGGAAUCAUUGGGCGUAAAGAGCGCGUAGGCGGCCAGAUAAGUCCGGUGUGAAAGUCACAGGCUCAACCUGUGAAUGCCGCUGGAAACUGUCUGGCUAGAGUCCGGGAGGGGCGAGUGGAAUUCCUGGUGUAGCGGUGAAAUGCGUAGAUAUCUGGAGGAACACCGGUGGCGAAGGCGGCAUUCUGGACCGAAACUGACGCUUAAGCGCGAAAGCCAGGGGAGCAAACGGG